rnacentral:rRNA from 1 species
AUUGAACGCUGGCGGCAUGCCUAACACAUGCAAGUCGAACGGCAGCACGACCUAGCUUGCUAGGCUGGUGGCGAGUGGCGCACGGGUGAGUAAUGCGUAGGAAUAUACCUUAAAGUGGGGGACAACCUGGGGAAACUCAGGCUAAUACCGCAUGAGCUCUAAGGAGGAAAGCUGGGGACCUUUCGGGGCCUGGCGCUUUAAGAAUAGCUUACGUCCGAUUAGUUAGUUGGUGGGGUAAAGGCUUACCAAGACGAUGAUCGGUAGCUGGUCUGAGCGGAUGGUCAGCCACACUGGGCCUGAGACACGGCCCAGACUCCUACGGGAGGCAGCAGUGGGGAAUAUUGGACAAUGGGGGAAACCCUGAUCCAGCGAUGCCGCGUGUGUGAAGAAGGCCUGCGGGUUGUAAAGCACUUUCGGUGGGGAGGAGGACUUAUAGGUUAAGAGCUAAUGAGUUGGACGUUACCCACAUAAGAAGCACCGGCUAACUCCGUGCCAGCCGCCGCGGUAA